rnacentral:rRNA from 1 species
AGUGAACGCUGGCGGUAUGCCUAACACAUGCAAGUCGAACGGCAGCACAGUAAGAGCUUGCUCUUACGGGUGGCGAGUGGCGGACGGGUGAGGUAUACAUCGGAAUCUACUUUUUCGUGGGGGAUAACGUAGGGAAACUUACGCUAAUACCGCAUACGACCUACGGGUGAAAGCAGGGGAUCUUCGGACCUUUCGCGAUUGAAUGAGCCGAUGUCGGAUUAGCUAGUUGGCGGGGUAAAGGCCCACCAAGGCGACGAUCCGUAGCUGGUCUGAGAGGAUGAUAAGCCACACUGGAACUGAGACACGGUCCAGACUCCUACGGGAGGCAGCAGUGGGGAAUAUUGGACAAUGGGCGCAAGCCUGAUCCAGCCAUACCGAGUGGGUGAAGAAGGCCUUCGGGUUGUAAAGACAUUUUGUUGGGAAAGAAAAGCAGCAGGUUAAUACCCCGCUGUUCUGACGGUACCCAAAGAAUAAGCACCGGCUAACUUCGUG